rnacentral:rRNA from 1 species
ACGAACGCUGGCGGCGUGCUUAACACAUGCAAGUCGAACGGUGAAGCGAGUGCUUGCACUCGUGGAUCAGUGGCGAACGGGUGAGUAACACGUGAGUAACCUGCCCAUCACUCUGGGAUAAGCACUGGAAACGGUGUCUAAUACUGGAUACGACCAACCCUUGCAUGGGGUGUUGGUGGAAAGAUUUAUCGGUGAUGGAUGGACUCGCGGCCUAUCAGCUUGUUGGCGGGGUAAUGGCCCACCAAGGCGACGACGGGUAGCCGGCCUGAGAGGGUGACCGGCCACACUGGGACUGAGACACGGCCCAGACUCCUACGGGAGGCAGCAGUGGGGAAUAUUGCACAAUGGGCGAAAGCCUGAUGCAGCGACGCCGCGUGAGGGAUGACGGCCUUCGGGUUGUAAACCUCUUUCAGCAGGGAAGAAGCGAAAGUGACGGUACCUGCAGAAGGAGCACCGGCUAACUACGUG